UACGUAGGGUGCGAGCGUUGUCCGGAAUUACUGGGCGUAAAGAGCUCGUAGGUGGUUCGGCAAGUCAGUUGUGAAAUCUCCGCGCUCAACGCGGAGGGGUCAGCUGAAACUGCUGUGACUUGAGUCUGGUAGGGGAGUGUGGAAUUCCCGGUGUAGCGGUGAAAUGCGUAGAUAUCCGGAGGAACACCGGUGGCGAAGGCGGCUUCCUGGACCGACACUGACGCUGAGGCGCGAAAGCUAGGGGAGCAAACGGG
rnacentral:rRNA from 1 species